ensembl:lncRNA
AUAGGAAGUUCAAGAUACAUCUGAGUUUAGAAAUUCACUUAUUUCUGUGACACGAUGGGAACUGUAAUCAUUUUUUGGCUAAGGAAUUGCUGACUUUGUGAAAUCUUUCAAGGCUACGGAAGUAGAUUUUUUAAAGGUGAAUAACUCCAAAGCCAGAUGUUGCAGUCUCUAAAAAGCAGCUGUCAUGGAUGUGGAUCAUUCAGCCAAGACCCGGUGCACCACCUCCUAGCGACCCCAGCAAAGAAAACUCUUCCUACAGCUGGAGCUGUAUAAGGACCUGGCAGAAGCCUCGGAAACGCAGCCUCCCAGAAACGCGUCAGAACAGCAAAUGUGCUAAACAUCUAACUGCAUCGCAGUGGUAUAAAUUACACAGACGCGAGGUAUCGAUUGUGAAAAGAUCAGAUAGUUUUAAAGUCAGUGGAUGGCUGUCAAGUUGUUAAUUGAACAUUUGCUGAAAAAUGCCUGUGGCAACUGUGGCCACAGAUGCCCGCACUGGAUGAACACCUGUCCAAUCUAUGCAAGAAGGAAAGGAAAUCAAGGGAUGGCAUGUUCACUGAUUUUAUGUAUACAACUCAACAGUGAUAAAAAGAUGGAGAAGUGGAAGAAAGUUAAAUUUAGCAUGGUUAAGAGGAGAGAGGAGAAGAAAAGUGGCUGUGGACUUCAGAAACAGUCUUUGCAAGAGACAGAGCACUGUCUAAAUGCACUUUUUUUUUCAAAGGCUAACCACCACUUUCUGUGUCGGUCAGCCUUUCUCUAA